UACAUAGGGUGCAAACGUUGCUCGGAAUUAUUGGGCGUAAAGCGCACGUAGGCGGUUCGUUAAGUCGGAUGUGAAAGCCCUCGGCUCAACUGAGGAAGUGCACCCGAAACUGGCGAGCUUGAGUACGAAAGAGGAUCGCGGAAUUCCCGGUGUAGAGGUGAAAUUCGUAGAUAUCGGGAGGAACACCGGUGGCGAAGGCGGCGAUCUGGGUCGAUACUGACGCUGAGGUGCGAAAGCGUGGGGAGCAAACAGG
rnacentral:rRNA from 1 species